UGAGGAACAUGACCUUCGGCGGGGGAUAGCCGGCCCAACGGCCGGGUAAUACCGCGUACGACCACAUGGGGACAUCCCUGAGUGGUGAAAGCAGCAAUGCGCCGAUGGAGUGCCUCGCGGCCUAUCAGCUAGUUGGUGAGGUAACGGCUCACCAAGGCGACGACGGGUAGCUGGUCUGAGAGGAUGGCCAGCCACAUUGGGACUGAGACACGGCCCAGACCUNUACCGGGA
rnacentral:rRNA from 1 species